rnacentral:misc_RNA from 1 species
GAUGAAGAACGCAGUGAAAUGCGAUAAGUAAUGUGAAUUGCAGAAUUCAGUGAAUCAUCGAAUCUUUGAACGCACAUUGCGCCCGCCAGUAUUCUGGCGGGCAUGCCUGUUCAAGCGUCAUUUCAACCAUCAAGCCCCCGGCUUGUGUUGGGGACCUGCGGCUGCCGCAGGCCCUGAAAACCAGUGGCGGGCUCGCUAGUCACUCCGAGCGUAGUAAUACAUCUCGCUCAGGGCGUGCUGCGGGUUCCGGCCGUUAAAAAGCCUUAUUUACCCAAGGUUGACCUCGGAUCAGGUAGGAAGACCCGCUGAACUUAAGCAUAUCAAUAAGCGGAGGA